GAACUACAUAGAUAGAUGGCUGGAGGUAGGACUCAGCUGCAAAAAACUUCAAGCCCACUCAAGUUGAAGAGGACAUGGAUGUCAAAUGUCUGACUUUUGUGUCAAAGACACUGACUACUGAGCAAAAGACUGCAUCCUGAUAUUUCUCCAAAUUAAGACUUUCUUGGAGUGUUUGCAGGUUGAAAAUCUUGGGUUCAGAGUUGACUCAGCAUAAAACAAUGUGGAAAUAGGAAUUUUGCCAGUUUUAAUGUCAUUUGCACAUGACAUAAGUUUUUUAUUUGAGCUUUGAUUUUGUUAAUAAAAUAUUCAGAGCAGUUCCUGCCAAGUGUUACACUGCCAGCAGACCUGGUACACAGUGAGGUUUGUUUUAAUACAGUCAUAAUGUUGAAAAAAGUGGGUUUUGACCUUUCUGCCCACUUACCUUAUUUCAGCUGUUUAUACUAAGCCAUGAAACUUCUAAACUGUCCAUUUACAGGAUAUUGACUUAAAAGAACAAAAUUUUGUUUCCAUGCAUGAAAAGGCCAAUUGCCACAUUUCAAUGAAUGUGAUCGUUACUGCCAUAAGGAUCCCUGAAUAAAGACCUUUUUCUGCAUAAUGUGGGGCGUGGCAGCUCGCAAUAAAUUACACGGAACCAGACCCUCAGCUGGGGUAAAUGUCUGGGGCUCCUCUGGCAGAGAGCUUGAGUUGGAUCAGCUGAGGAUGUGGGGUUUGAUUGAUACAUGGGUUUGAAAAAGGCCAAUCCUUUAAUUUCCACUGGGAAAAGAAGUACCAGCUUUUCACUUCAGGUUCAGUGUUCAUCUCAGAAUUUUGGAAUCUGUGCAUCUUGCCCUUGACCAUGGCACUACAGGUACAAAGCCUAUGAAGUGCUGAGGGAACAGCUGGCGAAACACGAAUGUGCCAGUAAGCUCCAGAGAGGUCUGCAGCAGAGUAAGGGCACAGCUACACAUCAUCCCACACUAAAGGAUCUCCUGCCAAAUUGCAGAGGAGACAGGCAGCCUUUUGUGUUAGUACCCAAAGCCAGGCGAGGCUCUCUCUCACUCGCUAUGGCAACUGUCACUGCGAGAGUGAUGACAGUGGGAACUAAACCGCCACAAGUGAAACUGAAUCAGCUCCUCUGGAAGGAGAACAGCAUUCCUAGCAUACUUCCAGGGCCUCGGGCCAGUGAGGAAAAAGAUCGUUUAUCUCAAGCUUUCUCCCCUUGGCUACAGAACUAACUGCGCUGGUAAGCUAAGUUGCCUCCUUGUCCACACAUCAUUUUGACAGCCUGAUGCUCACUACUCUCUCUUCUUCCUCCCACCAACAGUUUUAGGAAAGCUUACUCUGGUUUGAAAGAAUUCUAUGGGGGAAAAAAAUCAAACCAGACAAUCAAACCCACAAAAUAAAAUAAAAAAUAAAAAGUAGAUCA
rnacentral:lncRNA from 1 species